CCUACGGGUGGCAGCAGUCGAGAAUCAUUCACAAUGGGGGAAACCCUGAUGGUGUGACGCCGCGUGGGGGAAUGAAGGUCUUCGGAUUGUAAACCCCUGUCAUGUGGGAGCAAAUUAAAAAGAUAGUACCACAAGAGGAAGAGACGGCUAACUCUGUGCCAGCAGCCGCGGUAAUACAGAGGUCUCAAGCGUUGUUCGGAAUCACUGGGCGUAAAGCGUGCGUAGGCUGUUUCGUAAGUCGUGUGUGAAAGGCGCGGGCUCAACCCGCGGACGGCACAUGAUACUGCGAGACUAGAGUAAGGGAGGGGGAACCGGAAUUCUCGGUGUAGCAGUGAAAUGCGUAGAUAUCGAGAGGAACACUCGUGGCGAAGGCGGGUUCCUGGACAUUAACUGACGCUGAGGCACGAAGGCCAGGGGAGCGAAAGGGAUUAGAUACCCUAGUAGUC
rnacentral:rRNA from 1 species